CCUUUUCUGAAUUUCAAAUAAUAGGAAAGACUAUAAUUACUUUCUUUCUAGAAUGGCUUAACAUCUCGAGUAUAAGUAUUGUGACAUUUGGUCUGCAAGCUUUGACAAAAAGGAAUCUGACGCUAAUAUCAAUUACUGUUAUUAAUAAAUACAGGGUUACUUACUAUAAUCUCUCUCUGUCAGACGUCUGAAACAUAAAACAUAUUUACAUAUUAAACUCAUGACUCCCUCUUUUUUUCUUUCUCUUCAUUUGCAUAAAUAUAUAAGGGUUACUUACUAUAAAUGUUUUAUUUUUCUAAAUUAUUAGAAAAAGUCAGCUGUAUUCAACAAUGUAAGACUGAGUUACAACAUUUACAUCUAAAUUUCAAAAAAAUUGAAACAACCUUGCUUUCAGUGCUAUGUCCACUGAUUUAUUACAGAGUUCAUUGCUCAUGAAUAAAAUAAGUUCUGAUGUACUUUUAUUAUGCUUCAAAAUUCAGUUUUUUUCAAUGUGACUUUGGAAAUUCAACUCGGUUUAUGACAUAGGAUUUAAAAUUAAGUCUUAAUUCUGUAUCCUUUGCAAGAAGACAACUUAACAGAAUCUUAAAUUUCAC
rnacentral:lncRNA from 1 species